UACAGAGGUCUCAAGCGUUGUUCGGAUUCAUUGGGCGUAAAGGGUGUGUAGGUGGCGCCGUAAGUCGGGUGUGAAAUUUCGGAGCUUAACUCCGAAACUGCAUGAUACUGCGGUGCUUGAGGACUGGAGAGGAGACUGGAAUUCAUGGUGUAGCAGUGAAAUGCGUAGAGAUCAUGAGGAAGACCAGUGGCGAAGGCGGGUCUCUGGACAGUUCCUGACACUGAGACACGAAGGCCAGGGGAGCAAACGGG
rnacentral:rRNA from 1 species